GACGAACGCUGGCGGCGUGCUUAACACAUGCAAGUCGAGCGGUAAGGCCCUUUGGGGGUACACGAGCGGCGAACGGGUGAGUAACACGUGAGUAAUCUGCCUUUGGCUUGGGAAUAACUUCGGGAAAUCGGGGCUAAUGCCUGAUGUUUACUGUCUGCUGCAUGGUGGGUGGUGGAAAGAUUUUUUGGCCAGGAUGAGCUCGCGGUCUAUCAGCUUGUUGGUGGGGUAAUGGCUUACCAAGGCUUUGACGGGUAGCCGGCCUGAGAGGGUGUUCGGCCACACUGGGACUGAGACACGGCCCAGACUCC
rnacentral:rRNA from 1 species